GACGAACGCUGGCGGCGUGCUUAACACAUGCAAGUCGAACGGAAAGGCCCUGCUUUUGUGGGGUGCUCGAGUGGCGAACGGGUGAGUAACACGUGAGUAACCUGCCCUUGACUUUGGGAUAACUUCAGGAAACUGGGGCUAAUACCGGCUAGGAGCUCCUGCUGCAUGGUGGGGGUUGGAAAGUUUCGGCGGUUGGGGAUGGACUCGCGGCUUAUCAGCUUGUUGGUGGGGUAGUGGCUUACCAAGGCUUUGACGGGUAGCCGGGCUGAGAGGGUGACCGGCCACAUUGGGACUGAGAUACGGCCCAGACUCCUACGGGAGGGAGGAGUGGGGAAUAUUGCACAAGGGGCGGAAGCCUGAUGCAGCAAAGCCGCGUGCGGGAUGACGGCCUUCGGGUUGGAAACCGCUUUUCCCUGUGACGAAGCGUUAGUGACGGUAAUGGGUAAAGAAGCACCGGCUAACUACGUG
rnacentral:rRNA from 1 species